UACGGAGGAUGCGAGCGUUAUCCGGAUUUAUUGGGUUUAAAGGGUGCGCAGGCGGAUUUUUAAGUCAGCGGUCAAAUCGUGGGGCUCAACCCCAUCCAGCCGUUGAAACUGGGGAUCUAGAGUGUGCGAGAGGUAUGCGGAAUGCGUGGUGUAGCGGUGUAAUGCAUAGAUAUCACGCAGAACCCCGAUUGCGAAGGCAGCAUACCGGUGCACAACUGACGCUCAGGCACGAAAGCGUGGGUAUCGAACAGG
rnacentral:rRNA from 1 species